rnacentral:rRNA from 1 species
UACGAAGGGGGCUAGCGUUGCUCGGAAUUACUGGGCGUAAAGGGCUCGUAGGCGGCCAACUAAGUCAGACGUGAAAUCCCUCAGCUUAACUGGGGAACUGCGUCUGAUACUGGAUGGCUUGGAUUCGGGAGAGGAAUGCGGAAUUCCAGGUGUAGCGGUGAAAUGCGUAGAUAUCUGGAGGAACACCGGUGGCGAAGGCGGGUCUCUGGGCAGUAACUGACGCUGAGGAGCGAAAGCGUGGGGAGCGAACAGG